rnacentral:rRNA from 1 species
UACAGAGACUGCAAGCGUUAUCCGGAUUCACUGGGUUUAAAGGGUGCGUAGGCGGACAUUUAAGUCAGUGGUGAAAUACCUGAGCUUAACUUAGGAACUGCCAUUGAUACUAUUUGUCUUGAAUGUCGUGGAGGUUAGCGGAAUAUGUCAUGUAGCGGUGAAAUGCUUAGAUAUGACAUAGAACACCUAUUGCGAAGGCAGCUAACUACGCGAAUAUUGACGCUGAGGCACGAAAGCGUGGGGAUCAAACAGG